rnacentral:rRNA from 1 species
GACAGAGGGUGCAAACGUUGUUCGGAUUUACUGGGCGUAAAGCGCGUGUAGGCGGCUUUGCAAGUCGGAUGUGAAAGCCCACGGCUCAACCGUGGAAGUGCAUCCGAAACUGCAUGGCUGGAGUCUCGGAGAGGAAGGUGGAAUGCUUGGUGUAGAGGUGAAAUUCGUAGAUAUCAAGCAGAACACCGGUGGCGAAGGCGGGUCUCUGGGCCGAAAUUGACGCUGAGGAGCGAAAGCGUGGGGAGCAAACAGG